CAGGGGAUAGUUUAAUUAAAAUAUUAAUUUUGGAGAUUAAUGAAAAGAGUAAUCUUUUCCCUGA
rnacentral:tRNA from 1 species